rnacentral:rRNA from 1 species
AAUAGCUGAUUUGAGAGGAUGAUCAGCCACAUUGGGACUGAGACACGGCCCAAACUCCUACGGGAGGCAGCAGUGGGGAAUCUUGCACAAUGGAGGAAACUCUGAUGCAGCGAUGCCGCGUGAGUGAAGAAGGCCCUUGGGUUGUAAAGCUCUUUCGUCGGGGAAGAAAAUGACUGUACCCGAAUAAGAAGGUCCGGCUAACUUCGUGCCAGCAGCCGCGGUAAUACGAAGGGACCUAGCGUAGUUCGGAAUUACUGGGCUUAAAGAGUUCGUAGGUGGUUGAAAAAGUUAGUGGUGAAAUCCCAGAGCUUAACUCUGGAACUGCCAUUAAAACUUUUCAGCUAGAGUAUGAUAGAGGAAAGCAGAAUUUCUAGUGUAGAGGUGAAAUUCGUAGAUAUUAGAAAGAAUACCAAUUGCGAAGGCAGCUUUCUGGAUCAUUACUGACACUGAGGAACGAAAGCAUGGGUAGCGAAGAGGAUUAGAUACCCUCGUAGUCCAUGCCGUAAACGAUGUGUGUUAGACGUUGGAAAUUUAUUUUCAGUGUCGCAGCGAAAGCGAUAAACACACCGCCUGGGGAGUACGACCGCAAGGUUAAAACUCAAAUGAAUUGACGGGGACCCGCACAAGUAGUGGAGCAUGUGGUUUAAUUCGAAGAUACGCGCAGAACCUUACCAACACUUGACAUGUUCGUCGCGACUCUAAGAGAUUAGAGUUUUCGGUUCGGCCGGACGAAACACAGGUGCUGCAUGGCUGUCGUCAGCUCGUGUCGUGAGAUGUUGGGUUAAGUCCCGCAACGAGCGCAACCCUCACUUUUAGUUGCCAUCAUUAAGUUGGGCACUCUGAAAGAACUGCCAGUGAUAAGCUGGAGGAAGGUGGGGAUGACGUCAAGUCCUCAUGGCCCUUACGUGUUGGGCUACACACG